rnacentral:rRNA from 1 species
ACACGGAGGGUGCAAGCGUUACCCGGAAUCACUGGGCGUAAAGCGCGCGCAGGCGGCUAUUUAAGUUGGAUGUGAAAGCCUACGGCUCAACCGUAGAACUGCAUCCAAAACUAUUUAGCUAGAGUGUGGGAGAGGAAGAUGGAAUUAGUUGUGUAGGGGUAAAAUCCGUAGAGAUAACUAGGAAUACCAAAAGCGAAGGCAAUCUUCUGGAACACUACUGACGCUGAGGCGCGAAAGCAUGGGGAGCAAACAGGAUUAGAAACCCUAGUAGUCC